AAUGAAUUGACGGGGGCCCGCACAAGCGGUGGAGCAUGUGGUUUAAUUCGAUGCAACGCGAAGAACCUUACCUACUCUUGACAUCCAGAGAACUUUCCAGAGAUGGAUUGGUGCCUUCGGGAACUCUGAGACAGGUGCUGCAUGGCUGUCGUCAGCUCGUGUUGUGAAAUGUUGGGUUAAGUCCCGCAACGAGCGCAACCCUUAUCCUUUGUUGCCAGCGGUUCGGCCGGGAACUCAAAGGAGACUGCCAGUGAUAAACUGGAGGAAGGUGGGGAUGACGUCAAGUCAUCAUGGCCCUUACGAGUAGGGCUACACACG
rnacentral:rRNA from 1 species